rnacentral:rRNA from 1 species
AGUAAUACAUCGGAACGUGUCUUCUAGUGGGGGAUAACUGCCCGAAAGGGCAGCUAAUACCGCAUGAGACCUGAGGGUGAAAGCGGGGGAGUCGCAAGACCUCGCGCUGGAAGAGCGGCCGAUGUCCGAUUAGCUAGUUGGUGAGGUAAGGCUCACCAAGGCGACGAUCGGUAGCUGGUCUGAGAGGACGACCAGCCACACUGGGACUGAGACACGGCCCAG